rnacentral:rRNA from 1 species
GACGAACGCUGGCGGCGUGCUUAACACAUGCAAGUCGAACGGAAAGGCCCUGCUUUUGUGGGGUGCUCGAGUGGCGAACGGGUGAGUAACACGUGAGUAACCUGCCCUUGACUUUGGGAUAACUUCAGGGAACUGGGGCUAAUACCGGAGAGGAGCUCCUGCUGCAUGGUGGGGGUUGGAAAGUUUCGGCGGUUGGGGCUGGACUCGCGGGUUAUCAGCUGGUUGGGGGGGUAGUGGUUUACCACGGCUUUGACGGGUAGCCGGCAUGAGAGGGUGACCGGCCACAUUGGGACUGAGAUACGGCCCAGACUCCUACGGGCGGCAGCAGUGGAGAAUAUUGCAGAGUGGGCGGAAGCCUGAUGCAGCAACGCCGCGUGCGGGAUGACGGCCUUCGGGUUGUAAACCGCUUUCGCCUGUGACGAAGCGUGAGUGACGGUAAUGGGUAAAGAAGCACCGGCUAACUACGUG